rnacentral:lncRNA from 1 species
AAUUUUACUCCUUUUCCCCAUCUCAAACAAUAAACUUAAUGGAUGGUAAGUGAAGAUUUGACAAUUACUUCUAGGAAUACUAGAGAAAUUUUGUCUUUUAUCAAUAUAUAUCUACAUAAUUCAGUCACAAACUGGCAAUUUCUGCCCUAUCUUAAAAUUAGGUAAACUUUUUUAUCAGGGUUGUUUUAAACAAAAGAAAUAAACUUUGAUUAACUUAAGUAUGUAGGCAGAAAUUAAGAAAAAAUUGAACUAAGACUCUAGGAAAGGCUUUCCUUAAGGCAGUGUAGGAUAUAGAAUAGGUGUUCUUCAGAGCAUUGUUGUUGAGAUGACUCAGCUCCAACCUUUUUUUUCUUUGUGAGUACUAUCAAGGUUCAUAUAAAGAAAAUAAAAACCCUGAGGUUCCUAGAACGUGCCCCAGUUUGGCACAAGAGGAAAGGCAAACUGUCCCAAGUGACAGAAAAAGGUCUCCUAAGAAAAAAUGAGAUGGUCAAGAGAAAUUUAGUGUUAUCAGGUGGUACUUGGGAGGUGUUAGUAAAAAAAUAAAAUAAAAUAAAGAAGAAUUUUGUUUUCAGUUUGUAAAUUUAUGAUUUAAAUUGCAAUUAUUAAUUCUCAAAGUGUGUAUGUUUUACAGUCAUUGUUUUAUUAGAAUUAUCCAUUUAAAUACAAUUACAACUUAUCUUGGGGAAAAGGAAGCAUGUAUGCCAAAGAGAAGGAUGGAUUUCACUUUCAUUUGUAGUUUAAUUUGCAUUAGUUUUAUCUUUAAUUUGCCUUCUCUUUUUAAAAGUCAGUGUAGAUAUUUUUUCAUACUGCUAAGGGAAAGCAAAUUCUCAAUCUUCUUAAUCAAGUGUGCCUAUUGCCCCAAUCAAUAUCUCACUCUGCUUCCAAUCAUUUUCACCCCACACCAUAAAAAAUUGCAUAGAAUACCCAAAAAGAAUCCUUAAGGGACUGAAAUUAUAAGGCAAAUGAAAUAAAUUGAGGUUGUAAUAAUAACAGUACUGUCAACAUCAUUAUCAUCUUUAUUAUGAGUUAGAUUUACUCAGUGCUUUCUAUGGGCCAUGUACUAGGGAUUUUACGUAAAUUAACACGUGUAAUCCUUACAACUUGCCUGACUAUAGUAACAGUUAUUAUUCUAAUUUCACAGGUGAACAAUUUGAGGCAUAAGUGAGUUCUUAAUCAGUAAGGGUUCUGGCAAUAACCAGGUGUUACAUUUAAAUAGGGUUAGCUUUUAAAAAUAAUUUAAUGAAGGCACUAUUUGCAGAAGGAAAGGCAAGAUUAAGAUAAAGGACAGGAAUGGUGAAGUAUAAAGUCCUAGCAUAGCAGAUGACUAUUGCCUUUGGGAGCAGAAGGGGAAUGGAGAAGAAGCUCUGAUUCUUCAGACUGAGGCUACAGCAGGGGAGCUGUAACCUUAGCCAUAAGAGAAAUGCAGCCACUGCAAGUCACUGGAGGUACAAGAAUGGAGCAAAGGGGAUCAAAUAACCCUACAUUUCUCUGUUCUCACUCUUUACCCAUGUAUCCCAUAGGUGAAACCCACCUAAAAUACAAAGGACAGUGUAGCUCAGGUCUUAUAUUUCAUAUGGGUGAGCUUUCUGGGGCAUCUAAUGGGGCAUAGAUGGGUGAAGAAAGGAUAUGGCAGAAUCAGCUUAACCAGCACAUGUUUAUUACUUGACCUAAAUCAGCUGGUGAGUGUGGAAGUUGGAAUUAUGUUUGUGUUCUGAGAAACUCUCUGCCCUGGGAACCACCCCCUUAAGGACCUUAAGAUAGUUUGCACACAAAAGCAUCCCACAGACUUCUACCUGUUCCAGGAAAUGACUAGCAUAAAACAAAACAAAACAAAAAACCUCUAACUCAGUACAAUCCUUCUUUUGAAAUAUUCUAACUUGCUUGUUGAUAACUUUGCAGCGAAAUACUACCAAAUGUGCCUAAAGACCAAAGGUCACUUCCAAAAAUCUCAUCUCAAUAAAACACUUGCUGAUCAGAAAUUAUCUCAGGUUAAAAAAAAAAUUAAUACAUUUUUUUUUUUUACUCUGUAGCACUUAAUCUCUCUUCUUAUACCUUUGAAGUAGUGCCAAAGUACAGCAAAUAAGUUUACUUGCUGCAAGUUUAUGAAUAGCCUUCGUUAAUUGUGUUUCCAACUUGGUAUUGCCUUUAACAAUUUUUUCCUGCUAUGUUAUAAUACUUCUCCAGAAUAGUUCUACUACACAAUUAUUAGUUAAAAAGAGCAAAGAACAGAAUAAGGCAUGGGUACGUAUUGCACUGGUCAAUUAUGGGACCAAUUUGAACAUCAAAAUAAAUAUGAUCAGUAAUAGAUAAUCACCUAUUGAAUAAAAUAAGAAUUGAUAAAUCUAUACUGACAAUAAAAGUGAACAAGCAAAAAAGUGAAAAAAUAAAUAAGGGAAAAGGGAAACUUUUCUAGAGUAGAAUGUCUUCUAAUAGAUAUAGAAAAUAGAAGAACUUAGAUUACCAUCUUGCAGGAGAAAUAGGCUUGUUAUUUUAAGAACAGUUUAAAAACUCUCAUUUUUCUUGUAAUCUUUAAUCUUAUUAUGAGAACACGUUCUCCCUUUUAAUCUUUAUAGUUACUUUAAAAAUAUUUUCCUCUACCCAGAGUGCUAUUUUUUUGAAUCUCCUGUCCCUUUUUUCUUGUUUAUAUACUUUAAUUGUAUGCUCCAGUUAGUACCUCUACUCCUCUGCCUAGUCAGCUUUUCAAAAAACAACAUUUUUCAGGUAUGAGACUGCUGAUCCCAUACACUAUGGGGACACUCAUUUCUGAAGUGCCAGUUCAGCACUAGAGAGUAGAAAUACUGAAAUAUAUGGCAUGAAAAAUGUGAACUAUUCUAGAUUUCACCAUUUGUUAUAAUAGUGAUUCAUUGCAGUUGCUUUUGAGUUGGGAGAAACAAAUCCUCAAGGCAUUUCUUUCUCAUCCCAAUGAAUACAAAUGUAUAAAAUCCUUAAUUUGCAUACCAAUAAAAUAAUUAGAAUGAUAGGUACACAUUUAAUCAUAUAAUUGCCACCUUUUAUUUUAACAGUUUUCUGAUUUAUGUGCUUAGCAUUUAACUGGUGUUAGGUAUUUAGGGAAAUUUUUUGACUGUAUAUCUUUCAAAAACGUUUCUGACCUGUGAGAUACUGCUGUCUAAUAAAGCACUGCUGGUAGUCAUUGAUCUGGUCACACAGUUGAAAUUAAAAACACACCCACUAUUAUUCUUUAAAAGAUAAAGUUCAGAGACAUCAGUAAUGGUUAAAUAGCUCUAUUUCGUCAAGCAUGAAUUAAUUGCACAAAAGCAUGAUAAUAAUUAAUAAGCAUAAAACACUGGGUAUGUAGGAUGUUGGUUCAUGAUGUUUUAGGUUUUGGGUUUUUUGUCAUUAUUUAUAGCAGCAGUAUGAUAACUGUAAUUCUCUAAAAGUUCAUUAUGUACUUAUAAACUAUCUUAACUCAUUUUUAAAACCUUGUAAGGCAGAAAAUUAGAUAUGGCUAGAUUUCUACAAUCAGCAUACUUUGGUAUGGUUUUUUCGAAAAAUGAAAUCAAGUACUUAGGGAUGCCCUUUAAGAAAGACUAAACAUGGGCAAUAAAUUAACAUAACAUUAAGUCAUGAUAUAGGUUGUAACCUGAUUUUUAAAUAGAAAUCUUAUUAAUAAAUUAUAAAAUUUAAGAAAAUUACUGGGAAAAUCUAUGAGUAUGAGAUAAGCUUGCCCAAGUAAAAAUACCAAGUUCUUUCUAAGUCAACAAAUUACUCACCAGUUACCCUGUUUCAUUCAUCUUCUAAAAUUUGACCAUUAAAAAAUAUAUUCCAAUUGUUAUAUAUUCUAUAAACAUUCCAAAAUCAUAUUCAUAAACAUACACUUAUAUAUGGAUUAAAAUACAUCCCCAAAAUAUAUACCUGUUAAAAUUUUUACAAAAAGACUUGAAAC